CAACGAUCACAGCGAAUAGUAACCACAAUAAUGUAAAUUGUUCGGUCUGCAAACAGAGGAAAAAGAGAUCAUGAUAAAAGAUACGGAUUAUCAUAAAGAUUUGAAAGAAUUAAUGUUUAAUAACGAGUCUACAAGUACACAUACAUCAUGCUUUGUGGAAAGGACAUAUAAGCAAAAACGUAAACGAGGAUUGAUGAUGAUGAUAGUAGUAAGAGUAGUCCAGUGAUCUUCUUCAGUGUACGUCAUCGUUGAAGGUAUCGUGUGAAAGACGAAGGUGAAGAAGGGGAUCGAAAGGGAUCGUAAAACAUCCUAUUUACGUCCACGAACGCAGAUUACACCCCUCGGGAGUAUAGGACUAGCCUGUGGCGACAGUAUUUUCUUCCAAACGUUAAAUUAUCUAGCUAUCUUACGACAAAAUAUCGUCGAAUCGACGAAUCUCCGCCCGAAUGAAAUACUCUCCUGGCUGACAUUAAUCUUCUUCUCUUUCUUCCUUCCUCUUUUUAUCUUUUUUUUCUUUUUCUUUCUUUCUUUACCACACACAGACUGGCCUAUUUCUUUAUGAAAUUAUAGGAAUUAAAUUGAUCUCUCUAUGAUUUUAUUAAGUAAAUAACAUUUUGUACAAGAGAAUUUAAUUUUAUUACAUAGUAUAUCACUAAUUACUAGCUAUUAUAUUAUGCUCGACAAGUGCUAGAAAGAUUAAUUUGUUAAGAGAAUAUUCGAACGAGGAAAUAGAAUUGUACGUGCGAAGUAAGAGUAGAAAGAGAAUUGUGAAGAGAAAUUGAGAGAGUAACGAAGCAAAAUGCAUCGAUUAUUUAUACUCGUCAUUUGAUACCAAAGGAGGAAACGUUGAAAACGACUACAGAUGUAAAUCUUCUAGUUUGCAACGUUCAGAAACUUGGUGAAAUUUCAAACAACUGGAAAGUCGAUUUUAACGUGACAGGAUUCUUGCUUAAGUGAUCAUAGAAACUAGAAAUAGGAAAUCUGCGAUGAGAUAGAAAUGUAAUCCUGAAGGUAAUAAAUAGUAAGCAAAGGUUUCCAUGAAAAUCACAUUUUAUAUUGUUAACAAAUAAUGUCGUACAUUUUUUCAUGUUACUUUUCGAUUUUUCUAUUGAAA